rnacentral:lncRNA from 1 species
AAAAUAGAUCAUGAAGUUGCUACUUGUUAUUGCGUGUCUUGUUGCGGGAAUCACCGCAGAUUUGAACGAUUAUGACCAAUACGUCCUUUUCAAGGCGAAACAUUCGAAACAAUACAGAAUCACAGAA